CACGUAGGGACCAAGCGUUGUCCGGAUUUAUUGGGCGUAAAGAGCUCGUAGGCGGUUCGGUAAGUCGGGUGUGAAAACUCUGGGCUCAACUCGGAGAGGCCACCCGAUACUGCCGUGACUCGAGUCCGGUAGGGGAGCACGGAAUUCCUGGUGUAGCGGUGAAAUGCGCAGAUAUCAGGAGGAACACCGGUGGCGAAGGCGGUGCUCUGGGCCGGUACUGACGCUGAGGAGCGAAAGCGUGGGUAGCAAACAGGAUUAGAUACCCUGGUAGUCCACGCCGUAAACGUUGGGCACUAGGUGUGGGACCCCGCCAACGGGUUCUGUGCCGCAGCUAACGCAUUAAGUGCCCCGCCUGGGGAGUACGGCCGCAAGGUUAAA
rnacentral:rRNA from 1 species